UGAGGAAUAUUGGUCAAUGGCCGGGAGGCUGAACCAGCCAAGUCGCGUGAGGGAAGACGGCCCUACGGGUUGUAAACCUCUUUUGUCAGGGAGCAAGGGGGCGGGGUCGGGGACCUGCUGUGAGAGUACCUGAAAGAAAAAGCAUCGGCUAACUCCGUGCC
rnacentral:rRNA from 1 species